rnacentral:rRNA from 1 species
UGGGGAAUCUUGCGCAAUGGGCGAAAGCCUGACGCAGCGACGCCGCGUGGGCGAAGAAGGCCUUCGGGUUGUAAAGCCCUGUGGGGGAGAACGAACCGUACGGGGGCGAAUACCCUCCGUGCCUGACGGUACUCCUUUAGCAAGCAUCGGCUAACUCUGUGCCAGCAGCCGCGGUAAGACAGAGGAUGCAAACGUUGCUCGGAAUUACUGGGCGUAAAGCGCGUGUAGGCGGUCUGGUAAGUCGGACGUGAAAUCCCGGGGCUCAACCCCGGAAGUGCGCUCGAUACUGCCGGACUUGGGUUCUGAAGAGGAGAGCGGAAUUCCCGGUGUAGAGGUGAAAUUCGUAGAUAUCGGGAGGAACACCAGUGGCGAAGGCGGCUCUCUGGGCAGAUACCGACGCUGAGACGCGAAAGCGUGGGAAGCAAACAGG